GACCUGGGGCAGGAGGGAGAGGUGAAACUUUGCUGGGCCCCCAUGAGGAACUCAGAAGUAAAGACAGGGAGGAAAAAGCCCUCUGGAGGGUGAGGAGGUGUCCAUAAAGACCUGCCUCAGGUUUCUGGAAUUUCCCAAGCCAUGCCUCCUCUCUCAGGUGAGCACUCGGCUGUUAGGAACCCACUUGGGAUCCAACAGAGCUGGAUUCGAAUCCACACUCUACCACGUUACCCAUGGGACCAUAAGCAGAUGACUGAUGACUUGUGCUGUUUCACCUUGGGAACACAGAAUCUCCUUAAAGAAAUGGAGCCCACGCUGAACCUCCCUUGGUGACGUGGCCAUGGCUUCUAAUGAGAGCAGUUCUAACACCAAUGCAUUUAUUAUCCUCAGACUCUAAGUAAAAGAGGAACUCCCACAGCAUGCUCGGGAGCCAGCCCUCACUGGCUCACAAGAAUGAACUGUCCAACUUUCCAGAACCUUGUGAGCUGCUCGUUAAAGUCAUACAACAUUCGGAAUUCACUUAUAUAAACUGACAACGUCACAUUAAAGACAAAGAUAAUAAAUAUUGAAAACUCA